rnacentral:rRNA from 1 species
AUGGAUGCUGACCAAAGCUUCUUGGACACCCUUGGUUUUGGUUACACGCAAACACAACCAGAAAGUCCAAUUGGAGAGCAGGCAACUCCAUCAACUCAGCAUCAAGCAACACCAUCAACGCAGCAACGUUCUGCAAUAAUAGAGAAAGGAAAAUCCAACAAAGGAAAAAAUUGGUCUAGUGAUGAGGACAAGGUUCUCAUAGCAGCAUGGGCAAAAACAAGUUUGGAUAUUGUUGGGAAAACCGAGAUGCUUAUUGGGCUAGAAUUUCAGAGUACUACAACACACACAAGGAAUCGUCAUGGCCGGAGCGUAAUCCUAAUGCAAUCAAUUGCCGUUACACAUUGA